GUUGACUUCUCCCUGAGUCUGAAGUGGAAUGAAAAACAAAUGUCAUGGAGGGUGACAGAGAGCGUCUGUGUCUUAUCAGCUCGGACAAUGUGAGUGAUGGUUCUUAUCUGGCCCCCUGCUCCGUGGCUGUUUAUUAUCCCAAGGUGGCAGGACGGUGCUGGGAAGAGAGGAGAACUGGGAGCCCCUUCGUGAUCCAUCACUCCGGAGGUCUCCUUCCUCCUCUUAUCUGACCGCUACAUGGAUAACUGCAGCUCAUGUUUACAAACGCCAGCUAUUUGAAUGAGUAGCAGGCGUAGGAAACGGUUCUUUGGAUUUCUUUAUCAGUCAAGGCCAUUAAAGAAUGGUGAGAUCAUGCUCAAGACACAAAUUAUGGGUGUGUUUUGGCAGGAUGAGCUCCUAGCUGAUGCCACUUCACUGCAGUCAGGAGGCAGAAUUUAGAGGAGUGGAUUUCCCAGGACGGAUGCCAGUUGGUUAACUUCUGCACUGUGUCCGUCUCCCCCGCUGCUUCCUGGAUCCAUCCUUAAGCGCUCACCUGCCUGUCGACUCAUCGACACUCCCUCUGGGCUCUUCAGCUUCCGGAUUCUGGACAGACAACAUGGUGAUUUGGUCCUGACACUGAAUACCCUAAUAAACCUGGACAGAAAUGUGCUUUUAAAAGUAGGUGAAAAGAAAAUCUCAUCUCCAUCAGGCUAAAUUGUGGUGGGCAGCGUUAUCAGUUCAGAAGACCUGGGGAUUUGACAGCUCCCACUCCAUGGUGAUUAAUUACUUCUCAACACUGGUGGGCUCUCCCCUCUCCCUCUGAGUGAGCUGCUCCAGUGGAGGUGGUAGUGGCUGGAGGCAACACAUGAUAAGUGCUGCCCUUAUUACUGGUCUCUCUGGGAGAAGACAAUGCUGGACUAAAACAGGUUAAAUCAUACUCCCUAUGCUGCCUGGUGACAA